ACCAAGGCUAUGGAAGCCUCUUGAGUUCACCAACUUUGAUCUUAUUUAGUUCACUGUGAUGUACUCCGGGUGUUGAAUUCCAGGGAGACUUUGUAACGGCUGGUUUCACUUGCAGCGUCUUGAGAUACAGAUGAAGAGGAAAAAUCCUUAAUGCCAAGCCAUCAUAUCAAAGAGAUUUAAAAAUAUCACAACUAUAUCAUCUCCAACUAUCAUAUAUUUAAUACAAUUUAAUCCUACUUUUAUAGAUCUAAGAUAAAGAAAAUGCAAUCUAUUUACUUGGAUGUUCUCAUUGUCAUGUAGAACGUGUAGGCUUUUAUCUCCAAAUGCCUGUUAUAAAUAAUAGAUUUAAUUCAGCACACAUAUACCCACAUGCUUUCAAUCUAAAAUUACCAUGACAUAUUUGGAGAA